rnacentral:lncRNA from 1 species
CGUUUAAUUAACUAUGAAGCUGCUUCGUCGGCGACACGCUUCCAGGGCGCCCUGACGGAGCGAGCCGGGCGACAGCGAGGGUGGCGGAGGCAGUCGCAGAGCCACCGCAAGAAGUCGACCACCGGCUGGAUCCGCGACAGCAGCACGAACACCGGCCCCAGCACGCCGCUGGUCACCGUCACGAUCGCCAUCGGCUCCAUCGAUCUCUCUCACCUCACCUCACCUGAUCAAACUAAAUUUAUAAGAAAAACAAUUGCAGCUUUGGCUCUGCCUAGGUGAUCGAAAUGAGAGUGAAAGGUGGUGCGAA